ACUCCUACGGGAGGCAGCAGUGGGAAUAUUGCACAAUGGGGAAACCCUGAUGCAGCCAUGCCGCGUGUGUGAAGAAGGCCUUCGGGUUGUAAAGCACUUUCAGUAGGGAGGAAGGUAGUGUAGUUAACGACCUGCAUUAUUUGCGUUACCUUACAGAAGAAGCACCGGCUAACUCCGUGCCAGCAGCCGCGGUAAUACGGAGGGUGCGAGCGUUAAUCGGAAUUACUGGGCGUAAAGCGCAUGCAGGCGGCCUGUUAAGUCAGAUGUGAAAGCCCGGGGCUUAACCUCGGAAUUGCAUUUGAAACUGGCAGGCUAGAGUCUUGUAGAGGGGGUAGAAUUUCAGGUGUAGCGGUGAAAUGCGUA
rnacentral:rRNA from 1 species